GUGAAUCAUCAAAUUUUUGAACGCGCAUUGCACUCUCUGGUAUUCCGGGGAGUACGUUCGCUCGAGCGUCAUGUAAAUUCUCGGAUGUCCGUAUCGCGCGGUUCAUUCCAGCCUUGGGCGCCUCCCGGUCCGCCGACUCUGGUGGGUCGGGUCGCCUGAAAUUAAACAGCUACGGUUCGCGAAUUCGCGACCGGCCACGGCGUACUACGUUGGGCCUGCCCGACAAACCUUCGCCUAUGUUGCCAACGCAGCCCCGACGUCGCUAUCGCAGAAACGUG
rnacentral:misc_RNA from 1 species